ensembl:lncRNA
CUGAGAAAUGUGGCUCUUCCUGUAUUACAGCUAGAGAAGAGUUUAAAGUACAAUAAUUAUGUUCUUCGUGCAGCAACGUUUACUCAGCUCGUACACACCUUUAGAGUGGAAACACACAGUGAUCAACCGAGACAGCAAAGCUGAAAAACAGAGUCAAAGGUUCCUUUAUUUUAUUAACUGCUCAAAAGUGAAGUACAGAGGUGUGCACUGGGUGAAGCAUAAACACUUCUACAAACAUCAGGAAGUGAGAAACUGUGAAUGAUACAGUUACUGAGCUGAGAGCUGUGAGAAUGAUCAGUGAAAUUUUGUGUUUAUUACAAUCUAAUGAAGAUGAAGAAUGUUUACGUGUGUUUUAUAUCACAGUCUAAAUUCUUCCAGUGUCAUUGCUCAUGUUUAACACUGCAGACAGGCAUGCUGAGUCAAACAGACUAAUCAGUAUCACCUCAUACUGUUACAUGUGUGAACUGAAUGAUGUGAUUUCUUACUGAAAAGAU